rnacentral:rRNA from 1 species
UUUAACUGAAGAGUUUGAUCAUGGCUCAGAUUGAACGCUGGCGGCAGGCUUAACACAUGCAAGUCGAGCGGGGGAAGGUAGCUUGCUACUGGACCUAGCGGCGGACGGGUGAGUAAUGCUUAGGAAUCUGCCUAUUAGUGGGGGACAACAUCUCGAAAGGGAUGCUAAUACCGCAUACGUCCUACGGGAGAAAGCAGGGGAUCUUCGGACCUUGCGCUAAUAGAUGAGCCUAAGUCGGAUUAGCUAGUUGGUGGGGUAAAGGCCUACCAAGGCGACGAUCUGUAGCGGGUCUGAGAGGAUGAUCCGCCACACUGGGACUGAGACACGGCCCAGACUCCUA